rnacentral:rRNA from 1 species
UACGAAGGGGGCUAGCGUUGUUCGGAUUUACUGGGCGUAAAGCGCACGUAGGCGGAUCGUUAAGUCGGGGGUGAAAUCCUGGAGCUCAACUCCAGAACUGCCUUCGAUACUGGCGAUCUUGAGUCCGGAAGAGGUGAGUGGAACUCCUAGUGUAGAGGUGGAAUUCGUAGAUAUUAGGAAGAACACCCGUGGCGAAGGCGGCUCACUGGUCCGGUACUGACGCUGAGGUGCGAAAGCGUGGGGAGCAAACAGG